UCUUCAAUCAUAGAAUCACUCAGGUUGGAAAAACAGGACCUUAAAGACCAUUGAGUCCAACCAUACCCUAACAACCCUCUGCUAAAUCAUGUCCCUGAGCAUCACAUCCAAAUGGUUUUUAAACACAUCCAGGGAUGGUGACUCAACCACCUCCCUGGGGAGCCUAUUCCAGUGCUUAACAGCCCUUUCUGUAAAGAAGUAUUUCCUAAUAUCCAACCUAAACUUACCCUGGGGCAACUUAAUGCCAUUUCCCCUCGUCCUGUCACCAGUGAGAAGAGACCAACUUCACUCUCGCUGCAAGAUGAAGGAAGUUCUGGCAGCUUACCAUGCCCCUGGCUCUGCAGAGUUAAGCGAGACGUGCGCCCAUGUUCUAGCAUGCAUCACAUCGCCUCUCGGGUCUGAAGUGCCAGAAGGAUCCCAGCGCUGCAGACUGAGACGGCUCUGAGCACCUCAGUACCCCGUUUCUGACAGAACCCAGGGAUGGCAAACUUACAUACCAGUAUUACCUGUCUGGCGCAGGUUUAAUUUUAUAAAUUAAAACCAUAAACUCUAUGAGUUUCUAGACCAUAUUUGUGCUGUUGAGGAUGAUCUACUCAGAUGAACAGUUUUGCAUCCAUCGGAGAGAAAGGUUCUUCUGCUGGACCAGAAGGCAACAUUAUUGUAACUAAUACCAUUUGUAGCAUCUAGUGCAAAUAAUUGAAGAACAGGUUGCAAGAAAAUCCUCUAGGGAAUAAGACAUGCUUUGUUUUGGUCUUCAGAUUUUAAAAAAAUGUUGUUUUUUUAAAGGUAACCACUUUUACAUAACACUAUGUGUGCAGUCUAUGUGCAGCUCUUCACUGUGACUAUCUAUAUUCCAGAGAUUUUUAAUUACUUGUCAGGCACCUGAACCUUUUUUAGAUUUGUGAUGGAUCCUUAAAUUAUGUAUCCUUAAGUAUCAUGGAAAACUAGAAAGGAAAAGUUUCAGGGCUUUUAUUUGACUAAAUGUCUCCACUUAGUCCCUGUUAGUGUCUUGAAUGGUGGAGGAAAGGGUGGGAAGUAGGAAAACAAUACAAGAAAAAAACAACAAUACAUUGUGGGCUUGGUGUUUGGUUUGGCAUAUCAGAAUAUGUUUGAUCAAAUAACUAAGGAGAGAGAAACAGCUAACUUACCUGAGCCCUCACAUGAAAGGUCAGUAUUUUGGGGGGCAGUAUUUGCUAAUUUUGUCUCCAAAAUAGCUAUAGAAAAGAGGGAAUAUAUAUUAAGCCCCAACAUAUGUGAAAAGGACAUACUUGCCAUUCCUCUAUUUAUUUUUGCUCUUUCAAAAAUCAAAGUGCCAGUUAUUUGGAAUGCUGUAGUCUGUGGUCUCUUUAAAUUUGUUUGGUGAGAUCCUUUCAGCAAGAUCAUUCCCAUUACGGUGUAACUGCAUGGUGACCACAGCUUUGGGCCUGUAUAAUAAAGAUC
ensembl:lncRNA